rnacentral:rRNA from 1 species
AUGACUGGAAGGAAACUUGGGACAGGAACCAGGCGUAGUGGAUUGUGGUAUAUGGAUCGUGAUGUGUCUAGGUCUGGUGCUAGUCCUAUUUUGGCUGUACUAGUUGGAGUAAGUGAGACAAUGGCGAUGAUCCAUCACUGUCGCAUGGGGCAUAUGGCUUUUGAUAAGAUGAGUAAGAUGUUUCCUGAUGUAAUGCGUGGAGUAGACAAGAGUAAGCUUGUGUGUGAUGCAUGUGAAUAUGCAAAGCACGCAAGAAUCUCAUAUUUGAGUAAGGGGCUAAGGAGUAUAUCCCCGUUUAUGCUGAUUCACUCUGAUGUGUGGACAUGUCCUGUUGUUUCUGUUAGUGGAAUGAAAUAUUUUGUGACACUUAUAGACUGCCACACUCGCAUGACUUGGGUGUACCUCAUGCGACAUAAAGAUGAGGUAUUCCAAUGUUUUCAGGAGUUUUAUGCCUAUGUGCGGAACCAAUUCAAUGUGCAGGUGCAGGUGAUCAGAUCUGACAAUGGAACUGAAUAUGUAAACAAGCAAUUUGGAGGUUUCCUGUCAGCACAAGGCAUAAUGCACCAAACAUCAUGUCCAGAUACCCCUGCUCAGAAUGGUGUUGCAGAAAGGAAAACCGACACAUUUUAG